rnacentral:lncRNA from 1 species
UAAGGUGGCUGGCACACACUUGUGGUGGAUCGUGCAGUUCCAGAGUUUCCUGGGAAUGCACUCCCCAGCAGAGCCUGCAGAGACCUCACCACCAUGGCCACCCUUGACCUGGGUGAUCCCUCCAGCCUCUACUGGCACCAGUGUGGCCUUAAGAGGACAAUCCUACUCUUGUUCCCUCUGUGUCUGUAUGUAAUCACCUGAGACCUUAAUCUCGUUGAUGUCCUUUUUGGGGGGAGGAAGUAUACUUGGUCCCCACACUCUGCAAGCCGAUUACGAAGCUGGCAGCCUGAGGUGCUGACUAGCUGCUGAGUGGCCUUGCUGGAAGAUUCACAUUGCAACAAGCAAGAGUCAUGUUUACUUUGUUAAGGCAAGAACUGACCACCACCCUUGCUUCCUGAAGGCUGUGUUUUGUCUGUAGGCCCACUGCUGUGAUGGGCCCUUGUUGUUGUAAUUUUGGUGGCCUCUUGGAAGGCACUGUCCCUAAGUCUGGUAAGGAUUGCCUUCCUAACCCAGCUCCAUCCAAUAGCACAAAAGCUUAUAAAGUCACCUGAAGUCUUUAAUAAUCCCUCAGGAAGCAGUCCUACCAAAACCUGCCAUGAGACGUCCAGGCCUCUUGGAUGACAUUUUUCAUUUUCAGUCUUUACUAGACUGAGAAUUUCCUGCUGUGGGAAACCUGAGCUCUGAAUUUAGUUUGAUCCUCUUGUGAGUGCUGAAUGUCCAGCAUGCUGGUGCAUGGACUCCAGUGUCCUUAGAAGGGCUUUGUGGAGGGUCUUGGACAUCUCCCUCCACAGAUCAGGCAGCUGUUGAGUUGGUCCUGUAUGUAUCAUGGAGGAUGAACAGCAUCUCCACUGGCCAUCCCAUUGUGGGAGCUGAGUGUGUAGGAAGAUAGGAGGACCCCACACCAUUCUGCCUUCCAGGAAAACUGCCUGAGCUGGCAUAGACACCCACCUCACUUCCACCCUGCUUCCAGCCAUGCCUCCUCACCUAUCGUGCCUGACACAUCCGCACGGGCCCUGGGAAGGUUGUCAGGAGACACUCGGGUCCCUGAGAUUCCGUCCACGCUGUACAUUUCUUUGAAAUCCAGAUGUGUCCUAGUAAGCAGAUCACAACCCUGAUGGCAGGGUAAGGAGUAAAGAUAUUCCCUCUGGGAAAGCAGCCACCAGCAGAUGAGGUGGUCUUACUGUAGGCUCCCUCAUGCCUAAGACCUCACCUAGCAUCUCGGUAACCUUUUCACCUGUCAGUCUGUCCAGGGAUUAAUAUUUUCCUCUCUUCAGAUUUCCACAAAGUAAGGGAAUAACCUUUACCACAAUCUGGAGUCUUACCAUUUUUCUGCUUUGCUAGGCAUUUGAUGGAACUUAAAGCCUUGUCAAACAUUUCUUAAGUAUUAUAGCAGGCAUUGAGAGUUAUCUUUCUCCUGUCUAUUGAAAGGGAACCCUCCUUACAGGCCCUGAUGAACUUCGUAUUAAUAUGUCGCCUGUAUAAAUUGUACCUGUUAGGUUGCUGAGCUGAUGUUAGAGUAUUUAAUUCUCCAGCCUAAGGAGUGCAGCAGGUGCUCGUGGGAGUGGUCUGUGCCUACCUUUGAGCAGCAUGAAGCCACAGAACCAAGCCUGACACCAUCACACCCCGUGCCUUAGUUUUUAACCACUGUCCAAUAAAAUGGUUGAAUAUG